CCGGUAUGAUUUAUUUCUGCCUCAGUCCCUUAUGUUUAGGUAUUGAUCUCUGCUGACUUCAGAGACAUACUUGACCUUUUUGUCUAUCAACUUGAUCAACCAGUAUCAGAUUGGAAGUUGACCCGUUCUAAACUGAUAGCACCUUCAGCUAAACUUUUUGCACAUUCCAUUAUAUUUUCAUUGUUGCUUUGUGAGAUUUUCCUCUGGAAAAUGAAAUCUAGGGAUUCUUUACCAAUUGUGUUAAUAAACCUAUAUUUUGAGAUCGGAACUUUGCUUAUAAUUUUAGCAUAUUGGUUCUAUUUCUGGAAGUUGUUUACCUUUUUCAGAAAGAAGGGGGAGAUUACUUGAUGAAACUUCUUUCUAAAUUAAUUUUUGAAAUUUGUUUGUCAAAAAGCUUUCUGAAAACUUCAUUUCCUUUCCAGUUUGAAAUUCUUCAAAAGAAAGACUAAUAUAAUGAAACAACAUGUUCUUAAACUCCAUGUCAUUCCAAUAUUUCUUGAAUUCUCUUACUAUUUUCCAUUUUUGAAUUUUUGGCAGAUCAAUGCCAUUUAUAUUUGAGCCUUGUCAAAGGAUAUAGAAUUUUAAACAUUGUUCCCUACAUACAUUUUAAAUUUGAUUUCUCAUUCCUUGUGUUAAAUCCUAUGAGUUCAACAAUAGGUACACAACCUAUGAGCUUUUGAUUACAUAUAUACGUCAUUAUAAUAAUAAUUUGUUGCUCAAAAUAUUGAUUUUUUUUCAAUUAUUUGCAAGUAAUGAGCCCCUCAAUGGCACUGAAGGGACAAAUUCAGUUAAAGUUAUGAAUGUAGGUUUGCUAUCAAAUGCUAUCUACACAGUUUUUAAAGACAUGUUUGAUAGAAUCGAAUUCAUUUAGAAAUCUCAGUGAGUGUGAAGUCAAAGAGCUUACCUCCUCCUCACUUCUUGAUGGUUAUUUAGAUGAAAGUUGUUGGGGUUUAUAAAAUAGUGGUACCAAGACUUUCAAAUCUUGUUCUAGUUUUGCUAGUCAUGAAAAAGGAAAAAAAAAAGGUGGUUGUUGGUGAAAGAAAGUAAAGUAUGCCAGGGGUAGCUGCAUUAGUGGGUGGGUUAUUAUUUUAAUGAUAACUGCAUUCUUUAAAUAAAAUAUUGCAAUCUACAGCGAAAUUACUAGAAGUUGUGCACUCAUUACAAUCAAUACACUUUUUAUAUAUAAUGUCAAGAUUGCAAGUUAACCUAAAUGAUUCCUCUUUCCUAGUUGACUUCUUUAAUAGAGGUUCUAUGAAUAUCAUGAUAGUAGUGUAAUGUGAUUGGGAAUGCAAUGAAAAUGUGUUGAACAUUGCGAUAGAUAGAAUGAUAUAACAGAUAAGAAUAAGACUUUGUUGAGUUGUAGAUUACUUGUACUUGGAGUGAAGUAAUACUCAUAAACUAAAUGACCACAACCUCCUGAAGUUGGCCUGCCUUUCUGCCAAAAAGAGUAUAAAUUUGUAUGUCUUGAAUAUUAAAUCUUUGACCUUCCUGUCCACUAACAAUUAUCAAUUUACUUUCUCUAAAUUUUUAAAUCCUUCAUAUAUUCUGUGAGAGCUUCUGAGCCAAGCUUGCUUUUAUUGCUUCAUCUUUUUAAAUCAAUUGUUAUAUGAAGAGUUCGUUUGAUUCGGAUCAAUGGCAUGCUCCUAGGGUCUGCAAAAUGGGGAAGUAAUGGCAAAAGAAGAGUACAAACAGUAGUAGAUAUUUAAAGGGAGGAUGAUAUCUUGGGGUGUACCUAACAAUGAUCUUGCCAAUGGAUGUUGUAACUAACCUAACCUUUACUAUCGCUUGUCAUGUUAAACCAUAUAAUACAAUGACAUCUUUGAGGAGAGAAAAUUAAGAACAACCUUCUCGUCAGUUCAGGAGUUGGCUUAAAUUCUCUCGAUAAUGUUAAACCAUAUAAUUAAUGUAUACAGAUACAAAUGAUUAUUUUCUUGUGUUGCAGCUGAGAAAAUAUAUUUUUGAUGUCUAUAUUAUUACAUGUGAUGACCAGCAUCUAAUUCAUGCUCAAAUUAUUGUUAAUCCUCAUUUUCUGAGGUUAGAUUUAAUUUAUGGACUGAGAAGUAUGCAAACUUGUUUCUUGAAUUGCACUAAUGACAUAAAAAAUUCCAAGUAGUGGCAGAUUUCUUAUGUGAUUGAGUUAAUGUAUAAUUGCAUGGUAUAAACAAUUCAUUUAUAGUCAUACCCAAGACCCUUGAUGUUAGUUUCCAUCCCGGUGAGUCCCCUUCUUGUACUGGAACAUUCUAUGAGAAAUGCUUUUCACAUUUUCAUGUAGGAAGGAUUUUCUUUAAUGGUUAGAUUGUAUGGUUGUUGUUUAAAUUAAAACUUAUAAUUGUUGGUAUGUUAUUUUGGCAGUGUCCAGACCCUCAUUUCAAGAAAAAAUAUCAUAAAAGAAGGGUUUUGCAAAAGCCUUUAGUGGAGUCUAUUGUCGACAGUUUAAUGCCUGGAGGACAGAAUGGACAUCCACAAAUAAUUGAAAAGGAGUUGACAUCUGCAAAUGAUGGUAAUGUUGCUGAAGAUCUGAUGUAGAAUCGUGAUGUAUUCUUAAGUACCCUUCGGUCUCACUUGACAAAAUUACAGGUGGUGCGCUAUUUUUGAGAACGGAAUAUAUCAAGGGUGAUAUAGAUGCUACGGGGAAGUUGCCUUGUACAAGCAGACUUGAUCAGUAUUCUCAUGGAGAAAAUGGAGAUUCUGACCUUAGGUUUGCACUAAACAACAUGGCAACCAUGGGGGGCUGAUUUGAAGAAAAUUCAAACUGUUUGACAGUAUAUGAUUGAGAUUUGGAAAGUUGUAGGGUUAAAUCUCCAAGGAGAUGAACUAGAAUUUUUAUGAUCUUUAAUUUGGCAUUGUAAUUCAAAUUUGAGCCAAUCUAUGUUCUUUUAUAUUAAUUAUUAGUUAAUUCUCAAUCUCUGUUCCUAGUUAAAUUUAUAUAAAUUCUCGGUUAAUUUUCAAUUUC